UACAGAGGUCCCGAGCGUUGUUCGGAUUCACUGGGCGUAAAGGGUGCGCAGGUGGGUUUGCAAGUUUGAUGUGAAAGCCCCGGGCUUAACCCGGGAAUGGCAUUGAAUACUGCAGAUCUGGAGGAUUGGAGGGGGGACUGGAAUUCUUGGUGUAGCAGUGAAAUGCGUAGAUAUCAAGAGGAACACCAGUGGCGAAGGCGAGUCCCUGGACAAUACCUGACACUGAGGCACGAAAGCCAAGGGAGCAAACAGG
rnacentral:rRNA from 2 species